GCCUUUUUUAACGGGGAGCAGAAGGGCAGUGCUGAGGAAGGCAUCCCCACACGAAGCUGAGAGCUAUCAGCAGCGAGAGCAAUUUCAACUCUCACAAAAUACGUGUUUAUGAUAUCUUUAGUAGUAAGGACCACAUUCAGAGCUGACUGAGAGACAAAACGUCCUGUAUUGCGAGCUGGAAGUAACUGAUCGGGGAAGAUUAUACUACUGACAGCCUAUAUGGUUAACAAAGCUAAGCGAGGAUAAAGCUGCUGACGUGAGGGAGUUAAAGAGUUGUUGCAUUGGAGCAAAUUGUCACUUGCAGCACCCUAGAACUUUGUUACUCUGCUGUCGCUACUGCACUUUCCACUGUGUUACUCUAUUGUUAAGAACUUUCUACCAUGAAGAACGUCGAAGAGUUCCAGCGGUAAUACUGGCAGGUCAAAAUCCAGACCAAUCACUGAAGUCUGAAGAACUUCAUGAAAUGAGGAUUCACGUCCAGUGAAUAUUUUUAUUGCUGAGACCGUGGUGAAAUCACUCCAAGAUAAAAUUUCUGACUCUUCAAGCCUAUGACCUGACAGAAAUGGAACUUCCUGAAAUGAAGUCAUCAAGGAGCCCCUUGUACAGCUUUACUUAACAAGAGAAUCUUCUAAUGGUGGACAAAAGUACAAGAUGCUACAAAAUGAUGUUCUUUCUUGCUUUUAGAUGGUUUAAAUGUUUAUCAUUAACAAAAGAGAAUGUCAGAGCUUUGCCAAACACAACAGAUAAUUGUUUUCUGUUCUAGUGCAAGCAUUUGUCCUUUUUGAUAUGAGUAACAAGUGUGCUGAGUUUGUGAUAAUGGGAAGCUACGCUCACUCAUUCUGUUGAGAGGCUGUCAGCAGACCUUUCCUAUGCUUGUAGUGUGAUUUGAAGAUAAUGUGCUGCAUUUACCUAAAUGGACGGGAGGUAAUUCUGUCCUUGACCUUCUUUUCAAGAAUGACAAUGUGUUGGCCAAACAUAGUGUUGCAUCCUGUCUCACAUAGGGAAUAAUUUAUGAGAAAGUACUGACUGUUUCGAAGACUUCAACUUCAAAGCUUUGGCACUUUGUUAUGUAGUCUUCAGCUUAUUCCUCCAAAAACUGUUUUUUUUUCCCCACUAACAUUGUGUAUGUAACCUUGGCUCCCAGUCCCCUCCUCACUAAAAUGUUACCUUACAAGCUUUGUGUGUAGCUGCUACUCUGUCCUGUUUAUUUUACAAUCCAAGUUUUUUUACUGCUUACUUCAGAUUUGGAAUAUUUAGCAUUGGCUUUUCAUGCACAUGCCUCACAAAAGUACAUGAUCCUGUUUAUGAAGGAAACAUGAAGGCCAAGUAUUUUCAGCCAUUCAGCUAGGGACUUGGAAAGAAGAAUGUGAAAGAGAUGAAUGAAAGUGAUUAGGAGAUAAAACAGACUUGCAGAUGUGUGCUGUUUCACUAACUGUGGAACACAGUAUCAACACAUGAAUGAGUAGCUGGGCUAACCAGUCUAGUGGAGGAAAGCCUACAACAAAUACUAGGCUGUAGUUUUCUGACCCUUUCCCUUUUCUACUAGAGUUGUGCUGCGUAUCUUGAAGAUCUAUAUUUAAGCUUCUAUUCUUCCCAAUGUAGUUCUCUUCAGGAGGAACUCUAGCAAGACAAGCUGUAGCAUUUCCAACCAAAUUUUAAAUCAGGAAGAACAGCAGCAGAUUGACUAAUUCAAAAAAAAAAAAUAAAUAAAUGAAAAGACUUCUGAUGUAUUUUUAACAUUUAAGAAUGAACUUUACCCCAAAUAGCCCAAAACUUAACUUCAAUAACAAUGCAGUUUUCUACUAGCUGAUCAAAAAAUUAUUUAUCUUUCAAACAUGCAGACCUUCAAAGUAAAUAAAUAAGCAAGUAGAAGUAGACCAGAAUUAUUAUCCUAUUGUAGGUGGGAGUGUUUUGAAUCUCUAUGAGAGCUUGUGUUACAUAUGAAUUAUAUAGAUAGGCAGAAAUAAAACCAAAAUGAUUUGGGGCACCCUUUCCAAAGAUUAAAGGGAAACAAAGGUUUUUGAUACGUGAUUCCAAAAUUCCCAACAUUAGGAUUUUUACUGUGUACAUGAGUCCAAAUUUCUGCUUUUCUUUAUCUGGAACAAGGAAAAGAGAAUCUGUAAAUGAGUGACCUACUGCUAGGCUGUGGCUGCUGAGUUACUUUUGGUUUCUUUAAUUCUGCUGUCUUAGGAAAUAUACUUUGAAAGUUUUUGAAGUUUUAAUUUUUUGUUUGGAUGCAGAACAAAACACUUACUGGUUUGUACCAUUCUUGUUUUCUAUCCAGGGCUCACGAAAUAGAUCUCAAAAGUCUUAAAAUGUUCUGUCACUAUCCUUUUUAAAUUAUAUUUCAUUCUGGUGUUCAGCUUCUAGGCUGCAUCCAGGCUUGGAGAUCUCUAUAUCUGAUGAUGUAAAAGUUGUUUUUUCUUCUAUUUCAUGUCUUCUGCCCUCACCCUGCCCCAACUUGUGAGAUCAUGAAAAUGCCUGCUCUCCUGAGGUUUUUGGUUGUUCAGAUAAGCAGCCAAAAGUUCAAGCUGAAGUUGGAUUCAGAUCUUUGAAGCUCACCUUUACAAACUGAAAACUGAACUGGCUUGCCACAGGAGUUUUAUUUUCUUUAUAUUUUAAUGGUCUUCAGAGAAUAUUGGAAGUCAUCAAAUCUUUUUCCCUGCUAUAUUAUAUGCUAUUCACCAGUUUUGCUAGAUUCAUGCCUUUUCUGCCUCAGAGGGAAAAAAAUAUAUACUAAAAAUGCAAUUCUUUCCAUUCAUAAACUGCUUUUAAAUAUAUACACAGAAACAGAGGGAGACAGACACAACUGCUCAAACAAAACACACAAAGAGAGAUGCACAAACAAAACACACAGAGGCACGCAAUGACACAAACACAAAAAACACACGCAGAGGGUGAGACGCGCAACCACAUGGUGAGACGCAGAGAGAGACAUGCAAACAUGCACAGAGAGACACCCACAAAUAAAGAGGGAGAUGCACAAAUGCAAACACACAGAGAGAGAGACACAAAUGCACAAAGAGAGACACAAAUGCACAAAGAGAGAGAUGCAGAGGCACACAAACGCACACACAGUGAUGCACAAAUGUGCAAACACACAGUGAGACACGCAAACACACAGAGUGAGAGAGACAGUAAGAGAGGGACCAACAAGCACACAGCAAGAGAUACGCAAGGAUAGAGACAACCACAAACACACAAAUCGAGAGACAUGCAAAGAUAGAGACACCCAGAAAUAGAGAGAGAUGCACAAACACAAAGAGAGAUGCACACAAACACACAAAAGGAAAGAGGCGUACAAACGCAUGAGAGAGACACGCACAAAUGCAGAAAGAAAAAGACAAAAACGCACUAACAUGCUGAGAGAGAGAGAGAGAUGCACAAGCACACAGAGACGUGCAAACAGACACACAGUCAUGAAAGCAAAAAGAGAGAGCGACAAACACGCAAACAAUGAGAGACGCACAAAGAGACAAGCUAACGCACACAGAAUGAGAAGCAGAAACAUGCUCACACACAAAGAGAGAUGCACAAACACGCAAACCCAAUGAGAGAGAGACGCUCAAACAUACAAAGGCAGAAACACACAAAGAGAUGCACAAAGAGGGAGACACAAACAACCCAUCUCUCUCCUUCAUUCUCACCUUUUGGGAGUAAUUGAGAGUCUCUCCCAAAUUUCACACUCUUCAAGCAAGGCAGUGGUGAGUUGAUUUGAAUGAAAUAAAAGCCCCAGGGAGAUUGAGAUGUAACCAUGCUGUAGAACCAUUAAGUUUCUUAACGAGCCUCUUUUGAGGAAAGCAUCUUCUCCAAGUGUUAGAUUGGACACAGCUCCAUUUGGUGUCUCCACAUUGCACUUUGUUUGAAGGGGCAGGCUAGUAGGCCUUGAACCAUCAGCAUGCCAUCUACUUUAGCUAAUUUUCAUGUUGGUAUCUUUUAAUAUUUACUAUUGAUGUUUUCAAUGGUAUCAGUUUAAAAAAAAAUAUACAUUCAAAAAUCACUUUUUAAAUAGUUGAGCUCAGAAUCAACCUUCAUUUGGAGGAGCAAUUCCUGAUGAGCUCAUUUCAAACAAAGUUAUGUGGCAUAAAAAAUGAGCUGUGUUAGCACAGAAGUUUUAGUAGUUGGUCUGUUUUAUGUUGUGCUCCCAUUGCUUCUUUAAAGUUAUUUGCUGAGUGACUAGAUUAAUCAGAAGUGUCACAAGCAUUUUUUGUCAGCUUGAACUGAUCUUUUACCAUGAAUUCCUGUUCUGUUGAUGUUGUAACUUGAAUAGUUUAGUAAACCAGCUUACAAAAUGCUACCAAGCUGCAUGCGCUCAUCUUUCUAUUUCACCACUGCCUUAAUUUUCCACUGAGGAUAGUUUUCUGGGAAAACUCUUGAAGUGAUGUUACUAAUGUGAUCAGAGUUGAACAAACAGUUUUGGAGGGUUGCAGUCUGUGGAGGAUGUAUGAGAUGAUGACUUGCAAGCCUGCUUUACAGAAAUAGCAAACCCUGGAACGUUGUCUAGAUUCCAUACUGCGUACGGAAGGAGACAGAGUGUUGUUUUUUCACUUGUUCUAAAGUGCUCAGUAGGGUUAUCCUUAUUUUGGCUGCAAUGAUAGUGAGGAGAUUCAGCUACAAGCUGCAAAGGGUUUGUUUAUCUCUAUGUGGAACUUAGUGCAGUAAGGUGUGGAAGUUUGUUUGCUUUAGAGUUAACUGUUCAUCUGAAUUGCAGUAUGCUCAGGGGUACUGCUUUAGAUACGUGAUACAAAUCUUCCUGCAGCAAAAAGAAGCUGGUGGGCUAUAGAGAUUAGUAGGAAGAGAGAAAUCCUGUAGCAGCUUAUGUGAGGUUUCUUGUGGUUGUUGCCAUUGUUCAGACUGCUGAGGUAUCUUGCAUCAGUUUGUUUUAAACUGAAAUGAAUGCAUCUCCCACUUCUGCUCUUUCUUCAUAUGUGCUUGUAAAUCAUAUGCUCCAUGAUUUCAAUUGGCAGCAAUAGAUUAUCUAAUAUUGAUCAUGAUCUGACUAAGGAGUUGGUAGUUCUUUAAACAUCUCUCAAACUUCAGCUGUUCUUAAGGUUUAAAAUAUUAUUUCAAGUUCAUCUUUGGACUUAAAGAAAGGACAUUAAAAAAGCAAUCAAUUGGGCAAUUAUUUACUUCCAGCAGUGAUAUGUUUUACUACUAAAACAAUACAAAUAUUUGUUUUAAGUUGUUGAUGAAUACUGGCUAAACACUGGAGCGUAGCAGCUAUGGAAAAUUCCAGGAAAAAGUGUAAAAUGAUGAGUGAAAAAUGUCAAGGGUAAUACUUGUUAAAUGUGAUUUCAUUCACACAUUUAUAUCUAAAAACAUCUCCCUUAAUCAUCUGGGAGUUGUGAGGUUGAGUCAUGUUAGCCCUUUUCUUUUUCACAUUUACUCUAUUUUGUUUGUACUUCCUGAAUCUAUUCUAUUUUUCUCAUUUUCUUUUACCCUGCUGGUUUGUUCUUUCUUGGCUUUAUUUUCAAUUAGUUAAACAUAAGUGGCCUUUGACAUAGGAAAGAUUAUGAAAACAGUGGGAUGUGGAUGUUAGUUACUGCUUUGAAAGAGGAAGACAAAUAUUUUUGUGUGUUCUCCUUUAUCUGUUACCUCUCUCCUGGGGCUCAGUUGUCAGUAAGUGAAGUAAAACAGCCACUUGAUUAGGGAAAAGGGAAUUUAUUUAGAAUAUUUCUUAGUUUUCUGUGUAUUAUGGCUAGGGGCCUAAUAAAUCUCGGUUCCAUUAUGCUGUGCAGAGCUACUAACGUGUAAAAUGUGUAACAAGAGCCUCUGAACAUUACGGCAUGAAGUGUUGUAACUGACCAGACCUGGCAGGGAGACAAAAUACUUGAUUUUAUGCAUGCAUAUCAACAAUUAAAGAUCUGGAACAGGCAUCCAAUUGUGUUUAACACAACUUGAAAAUUUGUCCUCUUACAAUGGCAUCUAAAUUGACACUAGUCUUCAGGAAAUCUUGCCUUUAUAGCCAUUUUAGGGCCGUGGGAAGGGUUAACGCAGUUAGCUGUUACUGAGGGGUUUGUGGGGACCACACAUCUGUAAUAAGGUCAUUUUUGAACUCCUGAAAUACAUGUUACUGAGCCUUCUUUUGAGACUCAUGGGCUGAUGAACCCUUCUGAGAAUGCUUUGAUGAAGGAAUGUUUUUUUUUUUCUAGCUAAAUUCCUUUGCAUAUGAAAGUGGGUUGUGUUUGUUUUUAUUUUUGGAUAAGCAAAUAUCCUUAAUUUUGGCUAAUAUAUGGGUCCGGUCUUCUUCAAGGCCUGUGAACAUCCUUUACGUGCAACACAUGCAAGGAAAGCAACUUGUGCGGAGCAUUUCUCAGCUGCGGAGCCUGUAUUACUAACUUAGUACAAUAUUGAUUUGGGAAAUAUUACAUGUUUAUCCCUUUGAUAUUAACUGAAGGAAAAGAGAGGUUGAUUUUUGGAAUGAACCCAUUUAGAAAUACCCCUGUCCUACUGUGUUGUUGUUGGUGAGACUACUACCAGGCUGGCAGUAGCCAUGCUUAAUUAUCAUUCUGCACCGUAGAAAUGUUAUUCUCCAAACAGGGAAGGUAAGAGAUAACACAGGAAAGUAGUACCUAAUGGGCUUUGCCUUAAUUCUGUCUGGCUGCCAUGGAAGGGGAAGUUAAAUAAAAUACUCUAGGUUUGGAAAUAUGUGCUUGAGUUAAAUUGGACAUAAUACUGCCUUGCAAGAACUGAUGAAAAUUAAAAUUCCACAAAUAUGAAGUUUAAAAAAAUGAACAAUACCAUUUAAAUGAUAAAGGGCUUCUCUAUAGCGUUGCAAGUAUAAAAUAGUUGACAUUUAAAAUGUCAAUAGUUUCAACAUUUACCAUAGAGUUCUGACAUUUUAAUAGUACCAUUGGAACCUUUGUUUGUUUUAAAUGCUUAAAUUUUUUUAGCAAACAAUUGACAGUCUGGUCAUCUUUAAAAGGCAGUAGCUUCUUCUGGGACUACAGCUAUUGGGGAAACAGAACCCUUAAUUUUGGUGGCGGAAGUCAUUGAAAUAGGGUCAGCCAUAUAAAAAUAAGCACUUAUUUCCUACUGCUGACAUUCACAUUUUGCUUGUGGUAGGAAAAGGAAUUAGGGUAAGUUAUAAUACUCAUUUCCUGGAAAUUUGUAUUAAAAUCUCUUUAAGGACUAAAAGUAGUAAGCUGGGCUGUGAGAGACCUUGUUCCUCCCUGGACUUGGAUGGUUAGGUGGCUUUAGUAAAUCCAGUCCCUCUAUGCCUUCCCUUCUUUGGGAGAGACGACUACUUUAACUGUUGUAGAGGAUGACUGCUGUGGUUUCCUUGUAGAGAACUACAUCUAUGCUUACACCUAUGCUUGAUUAUUCAGUGUUUUAUGACCACUAAAGGAGGGCUUAUAUUGAAAGUUUUGUUUCUAUUAUUUGAAUGACCAUAAAUGACAUUCAGCAAACUCUUGCCGGGAAGAUCCUGGAAAAAAACAGCAGAGUGAAACAAAUAUUUCAUUUAGUGCCCAUCUUACUUCCUGCACAUAUACUUGACUUAUCUAUGCUUCUAAUCCAGUUUCUGCAUUGUAUUAUGUCUCACGGGCACCUGAGUGUCCACUUAAGUCCAAAGUAAAAUGUCUGGAGUUAGCAUCCAUCAGUUUUUAUCUACUCUGCAUCGUAUGCACAGCAAAAGGAAACAAAAUCCCCAGUUCCAUGUGAACAAUUGAAACAAAGUUCUGGUGAAUGCCUUUUGGCUGAAGACACUGCAGUUGUAGCUUGCCAAAGUAAACCUAUUGUGUGUGAAAUGUGCUUUGUUGCAACUUUGUAGGACAAGGAAUUGCAGUCAAUGUGUAGUGUAUUGUAGUUGUCUUAUUCUUGGAUUUUUAUAUGAUACAGCAUAAGGUAUUACCACUAACUAUACAAAUGCUUUGUGAACUAUGCCUGCCGGGAUGAGUCUAAAGUUCUUUAACAGUACUCAGUUGAUGGAUUUAUAUUGAAUCUUAUGUCAUUUCAGUCUUUAGAAGGAAAUCUCACAUACAACUAAAGCUGAGACUUUUUUCAUUUAAGCUGGACUCUAUUUAGUAAAGGGCUUAUAUGAGCUAUCUACAACUUUCCAAUGAGCUAAAGGGUUUAUAACACUUUAUAUUCUCUGGCACGUCACAUGUCCCUACCAGAUAGUUGUAUUAAAUGGUCUAUAGGAAAAAAGAGGUAUGAGCUGAAAUGAGACUAGCAUCCUGGGUUGUUCAGAAGAGAGUUGGAGGAAUUUACAUCAGUAGCGAGUAUAGAAGAUGUCUGAUAUGGCCAUCCUGAUAUGCAGCUGAGCCACCUGCCUGUGUGAACUCAGUGAAAGGGAUCAGAAGCAGAUCUUUAUUAUCAGUCCUCUAAUUUCCAUGCAAGAGAAGGGGAGCUGAGUUUGUAUUCUACUUCCCCUUAUACAAUGGUGAACACUAUAGCCUCUGCCUCAACACUGGAAAUAUUCUUAAAAAUCAGUAGGGAUCUCAGCGUUCUGGAGCCAUGUUUUGGUCCUUGUAGUUAUGCUAGAAAAUAUAAAUAACUGGCCAUAGGAUCUUUGAAGUGAGAGUUGUAUCUUCAUCUUUCUAGCAUACCCAGCUAUUCUGUGUUUAUUGAAGGAGGAAAAAGAAAAGAUAAGAAAAAAAACCCCUAUAGAUUGCUAUCUGUGCAGACUGCAGAGAGGUUAGUGCAUGAGUGAGGGGGCACUCUGCAAUGUCAUGAGAAGGAGAGCAUUCCGACCCAUCUCUCAAAGGGGGGAAGAGCUGUAGCUCUGAAUCUGCAUUACGCUGUUUCUCCCUUUCUACUACUGUCCUUCACCUUUCCAAAUUGUUUGGAAGCCAACACAGCAAUGCUACACUUCAAAUGUGAGUGUCCUAUGGUUAAAAAGGGAACAAAUAAGGUAGUAGAUAGAGAAAAAUAACUUACAGGGAACACGCUUUUGCACACACUGAUUAAUUGAGCUGUGUCAGUGGCCUUGUAAUGCUGCUGGAGACACUGUGGUGCCUGCAGGUUUUCCCUACUGCUUUAGUCUGUGUGUGUCAUGGAAAGAUUAAUGCUGUGAUAUAAGGCUAUAAACUGACCUUGUGUGUCUCUGUGAUGACUUUUGGAACUGGUAGAUAAGGUUACUCUCCAGCUUUAUUGUUUUGUUUUUAAUGAGCUAUUUUCUGCAGGAUCCUUCUAAUAGUGGCAUGGUUUUUCAGUAAUGCAUAGGGGCUACAAAGAUGCCCUUUUAUGGUAAUCUCUUAGAUGUGAUGCAGUUUUCAGUAAGGAGUUAAUGUUGAAAGAUUAUUGUCAAAGCUACAGUGGAUCACUAUGUCUUUGGUUAUAAUAUCUAGAAGAGCAGCAAACAGAGCCUCAAAGCAAAGAUCCUGAUGAUGUUAACACCUACAUGAUCUACUAGCAACCAAAAAUACGGAUCACAAAUCUUAUCAUAUUUUAAGCUGUCCUAGGAUGACUUUUCCUAGCAGAACUAUUUACAGUCUGUGGUUUAACACAUGACCGUAAAAUAUCUUUUUCAUUAUUUUAAAUUAAGAUGAGACUACCAGUUAUAACUCUGGCUGCUACAUGUUAUACAGCAGGUUCUGUUCAUGCAGACUCAAAACUGAAGCAAGUUUGAAUGCGAUGGGAUUGAAUGUUGGAAAAACUUGCAAUUUCAGGGCACUGCUGUCUCAGUUAAUCAUGACCAUUUAAAAUUGCAUAAUAUUUCUUCAAUCCCAAAUUUAAGUAUGAAUGGGAUAAAUUAGCAAAGUUAAACACUGUGCUUCCUGAAUUCUUUGUUACUCAAGUGUUCUCCAUUGCUUCUCAGUAUUGUUGUCUGUAUAAGUUUUGCAAUAAAAUUCAUUCAUAUCAGGCUUGUUUAUUACUGUUACUCCUAAACUUUCUUUGGUGUUUUUUGUGUGAAAGCCAAACAGUGACACAAAAAAUGUCUGGGGAGUCCUGAGGUGCUAAGAAACCCUGAAAAUGAGUCAGCCUUAAAUGAUUAGUAACAGAUAGCAAUUGCUCUGUUUUCAAAAUACGUAAAAAUGAUUAGCAGUUGCUAUGCAAGUUAAUUUGGCAGUAUUUAUUUGUGUGGUACUGGUCCGUGAGUCAGAAAAUAUAUGGAGCAAGCUUUGUUUAUUGCCAUUUUAUGCUCCAAAAAUGUGUUGUAUCACUUAUCUCUAGGAAAAAUACCAACUUCCCCCACAAUUUUUUUUUUUUCAGUUGGGAACCCUUGUCUGUAGUAUAAUGGCAACUUCCAAAAAUGUUUCUGCACAGGAAAACAGCAAUGAUCUGGCUUGCUUAUAGUUGGUAGGGCCUGGGGACAGGGAUGUAGGAGCUGAAGUGAAUAGUACAACAUGUGCUAUUUUUGCCCUGUGUGUGUAUUAAGGCACCUGUGGAUCUGUGCUAGGAGGCAGUAGUCAUGAUGGCUGUGAAUCUUGCUCCUCUGCAUAAGGCAGUAUGUGUGUAUGUGGUGCAAGGCUGUAGUACCAGAGCAGUUCUGAAGUUUCUGUCAUGCCGCACAGCAGCUCAUGGUGAUGAUGGAUUCUGAAUGCAGCAUUGCUGGUAGUGCUCCUUUUUGGGGCAGUAAAACCUUUCUUGCUACAGAACAGGUGUGCACAGUUCAGCAUGGCCUUUGGUAGCUUUACAUCUGUAUGCAAGCUUCCUUACUCAGAAGGGAGCGGUCAUUCUGUUUAACAGGUUAUAGAUAUUUUAUUUUAUGGUUUAGACAUUUGUCUGCUAGGUCAGAGGUUUGAAAUUCCUUGCCCAUCUAUAGCAGGGGUUCAGUUUCUUUCUGUGUUUCUGCAUUUUAAUCUGGUGACUUGGGAAUAAUUAAUAAUGCUUUGGUAAUGUAUUUUGAUAGAUUUUUGACAAGGAAGGUGCUAUUUAUAGAGAUUGUAUUGCAAAGGCUGUAGUAAACAUUAUUUAUAAAUGGCUGAGAUUUUUUUUUAGCAGAGAAUGCAGUUACUCAGAUGGAGAAUGGCAAGCUCCCUUUUAGAAUGCUAGUAACUUUGUUGCAAUUUAAUAAUUCUAAUUGCAACUAAUUAAAAACUUCUUUAAAUUCACUUGGUGCCACCAUUUCAUUUCAACAUUGUGAUGCCUGUGCAGUGCCAGGACCUUUUCUCUGGGAGUUUACAUGCGCUUUUUCUUUAGUUGAGUCACAAGAGAGAAGUCCAGUUGUUUUCUCUCAUAGAAAGGGCAUUGUUAUACUUCAGAAAAAGUAAGGCAGAGCGCAUGAUUCUUUAAAAAAGAAAGUGUUUAGAAAAUGUUUUCUGAGGCCUGUACUGAAGUUGAUUGAAACAACAUGGAAUAAACUACAGAUGUUGUUCCACUACUUCAAGUAACAAACUAAAAAUACAAGCUUGUUUACUGUCUUAGAAUACUACAAAAUGCAAAAUACAGGCACAUUUAGCCUGAAAUUGUAGGAGUAACUAUGGCUCCAGAUUGUACGCACAGAAAUUAAGUUGGUAUGUUUGUGAAUUGAUUCCUCUUUUAUGUAUUUGUAUAAAUGCUUUAGAACUUAGUCCAAAAUUCUUCAUGGUUAAUAGAAAAGCAUAAUCAUCAUGGACUGGUGGAAGCUCUGCUCAUUUGUGUCAUAUACUGGAUUUCAAAAGACAGCUAUCAAGCUGUUAGUAGCUCACAAAACAGCCCCUUCACCCCUGCUGCUAUUCCUGGUGUGAAACUUCCGUUGAACAGAUGAAAUCCUUGAAUGCGUCUAUUGCUUGGAGGUCUUUCUCACUGUCUCUCAGCAAUUUUUGUUGAUUGUUGUGCACUUAAUUAACUGUAUCACUGAGUGCUUGUGUUCUCAGGCUUGUGUCCACAUCUGUGAUAACGUCUGGAAACUGUGCUUGCCUGCACAUACAUGCAGCUUCUUCAUGAGGGAUUGUACACGGAUGUUAAUUGAGAAAGGAAAACUUGGUGGGCCAGUUGGGAUGCUAUACCAUAGAAACUGUGAAUGCGUCAUACUGUAGCCAGGUCUCAAAACUGAAGUAUCAUGCCUCUCAAGAUUUGUCUUGAAGAUUGAAGAGAUGUUCUAGAGAGCAAUUAAUCCUUAAAGAUCUGAAUCUAAAGCAGCCUGGCCAUGAAUUUCUCUUCUGACUUCAGAUGAAGUCUAAACGUGUGUACAUAAGUAUUUAAAUUCAGGUCAGGACAGUACUUUUAACACAUCCUUCCUAUCUGUCUCCUCAUGUUUUGGCUUGUGUUGAACAGCCUUGGCGUGGUCUCCAGUGCACAUUACCUUCUGUGGUGGUAUCUGCAGAAGGCCAUGAUUAUGCUGCUUUCAGUGAUGGAUUAGUUAUUUAUCUUUUCCUAUGACUUUUGAAAUAUCACCUGACCAAAAAAAAAAAAAAGCAAGGUAGUCACCUGAGCUUGUAACUGUACUUUUUGAGCAAAACCCUUUCAUGUCUCCAGAGUUUAACAUUUCAUGUUGCAUUCUAAUGUAUGUAUUUGGAAGGUGUUGCCUGUAUUUCUUCUGUCCUACGUUCUGUCUCAGUGUUUCAAAACAGAUUGGGCACCCACCGAACAGUAAAACUUGAGUGCUUUCUGCAGGUAUCUUUGGGCUUUUCAAGAGACAGAUAUGGGCUUGUUCAUACAGUUGAGUCUGGGUAUAUUUCUGGGAUGGAAUUCAUGAAAAUAUUGCUGCUGUGGAAAUUUUAGGAAAUAAUUAAAGCCCCUUCUCUAGGGAUUACACAAACUGUGGUCAGUGGAUUUGAGCUUAUAGCUUAUUAUAGCCCGAUCUAAUAAAGGAGUUUGCUCUUGGGGUAAACAUGCAUCAGUCUAGUUGCCACUGAGUAGGCACACAAAGUACAUAAACAAGAAAUAAGGAAUCUGUAACUCAGCAUACUUGGGUCGUAAUAGGGCAGGAUUGGAAUAGUCUGUUCUCUUCACUGUGGAGAAAGUUGGAUCAGUAAUAGAGUGUUUUCAAUGAGGCUCUUGUUCUGUGGAAGUUCUAUGGUGAAGAAACUUUCUCUAACUUGACACAUUGCAUUGAUUAUGUGAUUAUUCUGUUGUUUGGUGUGCUAAUGAAUAUAUGCAAAAUGUAUAAUAACAGUGGUAACUAUAUACAGAAGAAACAUAUUGCAGGAACUUCAGCUUUACAGGAUUUUAACUUCAGGAUUUACUUGGCGUUCUGAGAGAUUUCUUGACUACCUUAAGUUUUGUAUGGUACUUAAUGUUUAAUAUUUAAAAUCACAGAUUUUUCUGAAAGCUUGUGAACAAGUCAAAAUAUUAGUAUGAUUGUGCACUCUUUCUUGCUGGAAGACGUUUGACAACAUUGUAGGCAGUUCAAAAAUAUUCAAGUAAAAUCAGGUGCAAGUUUUUAAGUACGGUAGCUUUUCUAUCAGGAACCAGAAAGCUUAAUGUUUUGUCAAUUAGAUUAGAGUUGAAAUUGUCUGAAUGUGUUUGAUAGCAGACAGCUAACCAAAACUUUUUUCCAUUGAAUUCGAUUAAACUGCUGUAAUCAGAGCAAUUACGUGGUGGUUUGUGGCCAGUUUACUGACUCUUAUUAUUUAAAUAAAUUUUAAGGAAUUUUUUUUAAGUUUGACCUUUACUAACAUCAGAGAACAGCAGGAGACUGGAAGUAAAUGAACUGACUAAAGGCGUUGAAAUGUCAGAUUUUCUCAAGCAUAUAAUCAGUAUUGAAAAUGGAUUAUAUUAAAGCUGCAGAAGAACUUUGAAACUUCUCAGAUCUUUUUCUUUUAAAUUUUUAAUGUUUAGUUCACAUCACUUCUAUGUUUUGGUUAUGUUCUAAGUGAAGCCCUGUAAAUUAAGAAAUACCAGGUGUUAGUUGCUGUUCUACAUACUUUGACACCCUGAUGCUUUAGUUCUAACUAAUAACUACAUAUUAUGCUUGCCUAGUAAGACUUAAAUCGUCUUCCAGAAAUAGCAAGAAAGGAGAUCCAUGGGAAUGUUUUACAAUUUCUCUGGAGCUCUUAGAUAUCACUUGACUCGCAAUGGAAAUAAGGAAGGUAUAGAGACACUACAGUUUUGUUUCAAACACUAUAAAAGCAGAGGAAAAUUUGGUGGAGCGUAAUAGCAGUUAACUCAAUUUUAUUUGCAAAUUAAUAAAGGUCUUGGUUAGUCAUAGGUUCAUUUCUGCUCAAAAGUGGGAAUGUAUCAUGGGCUUAGAAGUCAGAUCAAUAAAAUUUUUUCACUAUAACCUGCAUUUACUCUGUAUAACAUCUUUCAAUCUUAUUAAGGAUAUUUUACGUAAAAUAAAACUUUAUGUAAAGCAAAGCAGUGAACUGUACCUUACUUUGUAUAUUAAAAAACAAAAGUGGAGCAAUUUAGGGAAAGCUAGCUUAGUCCGUUUGACGAAAGUUUUAACUUUUUCCUAAAAAUAGUCUAUUUUUUUCCAGAAUAAUUAUUUCAUAAACCAUUUUUUAGACAGAGACCCUCAGAUGUUAAAUUCUAGUUUUACAAACAAAUUCUAAACAAAUCUAUUUUAGUGCACCUACAAUACAUGUAUCUGUGUUGAAAAUAUUCCUGGGAAUUGAGCUGGUAUUUGUGACUGAUAGGAACCUAUACAAGCUAAUCAUAGCUAAUGAAAAGUGAAGAUAUCUCAGUAGUAAUAGACUGUAACUCAAAUGAAGAUAAAAAUUACACAUGUUGCUUUAACAUAUGGAACAAAUACAUCACAAUUUGGAGGGACAGGGUGUAUAUGAUGCCUGAGAAGAUGUUUCAAGGGAUAUCACUUAAAGCAAGACAUCUGUAAGAGAUAAUAUGGUAUGAAUGAAUUUUUGUGAUGUGUGGGACUCCUGUCUGAAAGAGAAGAAUAGAGCCUGAACUAAAUUCUUUCUGACCUGAACUUACCUGCUAUCCUAAUUUGUGCUGUGAGGUAUGUCAGAGCCAAUAUAUCUCCAGCGGGGCUCUUCUGCACGGUAUGGGUGAAUGGGAACAAAAUUGGUUGAUCACAAUUCUUUUUUUCUUCUUAACUGCUUAAUUGUACCUUAGCUUUAUAUGCAGUGACUUUUUGUGCUGCCUCUUUCUGAAUGACAAUAGUAUUAUGUACUUAAAGGGUAAUGUCACUUGAGCUUCAGAAAACAUCAAGAAGUCAAUGGUAAAUGUGAACUAGUGCACUGGCAUACCGCUAGGACCAAAACAACAAAUCAGAUGAGUAGGAAACAGUUCUUUUUUCUCAGAUAAUAGAAUAUUCUACAUGCCUGGGAGGGACACUAAUAUUUCAGGUUUAAUUUAAAAAAAAAAAAAAAAAAAGAUUUAAAAACAAAGAACAAAAUACUUGAAGGGAUUUGAGGUCAGUUCAGUAGAUACAUUCAGUUAUUUGCUCUGACACAUGCUUAAUAAAAAGCAAAAGAAUGGAACGGCAACUUAAAGAUAAGGUUAGAAAUUACUAGGUUCCAUGUAAAUGUUUCGAAGCAGAGCAAAACUGAUGUGGGUUGCUGGCCUUUUAGGGAGGUGUGCUGACACCCUGCCAGCACUCAAGCUCUUCUUCUUUUCUGGUGGUGUUUUUAAUGUAAAAACAGUUGAAAAGCUGUUCUUUUACAAAAUUGGGAAAUCUAAGUUUUAUAAUACAGUCAGUUCUCAGCCUUACUGGUAUACCAUUAGUAAUGGGCCUAAGCCCACUGAAAUCAGAAGUAAAAUGUAGUAUUUACAUUAUAAAUCAGAACAGCUUUUUCUAACACACGAACUUUGUAGUUGGCAAAUGCAGACCCCUACCUGCAUUUUCACUGAUGAUGGAAUGUUUUACAUUCUGCUUCUGAAACAGUUCCAAAAAUUUUCGUAGUCUAGAACUAUUUGACUGCCUUCUUAAAUGUCACGUUCUUUGAAUGCUUGAACCAUUUUGAGUAGAGAUGAUUAGGAAACCCAAACACAGGUUGCACAGCUGCCAAAUCUGAUAUGCCAGGAAAGUGAAGGCAGUAACCUGUGGCACGGGGCAGUGCAUCUAGGGGACAGUAUUAAUGUCAUGUAGCAGCUGAUGCUGGUCAAGGUGUGUUGUGGCCUUCAUUAGUACUUUAUGUUCAUGUAAAGGGCUCUCCUUUCUCUGAACUACUCAGUGACGCGUCUCACCACGCAGCCCUUAAUGCUUUUGUCCACUUCAGAAUCUUCAUUAUUGAUGGUGGAAGCAUAGUGGCAGCAGGGUUAAGAACAGGCUGUAAAGUUAAAUCAAUGUACUCCUUACUAUCAGGUUUAAUUAACUUUAAGGUUGGAAAGCAGAAACUUAAGGGAAGCUAUGAGAGACCUCUUAGCAGAACAUGGAAGGACCAAAGUUAUAAUGAAGACAGUAGGUAGCAGAAAAAUCAAUCAAUUCUAGGAACUGAAAACAGGACAAGAUCCAUUAUCCUUAGUGUCUGUUUCACCUCGGGCUCAAAAAUUCUUGUCUAUUGUUCUCUAACGUGUGUUCUGGAAAGAAGUCAGGAAAUGGUUUGGAUACAUGUGUAUUUGGUUGCUAGCAAGUUGCCCAUACUUACUUUAAGCUCUGAUUUAAGGCAAACUUAUUUUAUUGGGAAGAUGAGAAUUAGUUGUAGCUAAGUGUAUGCUGAAGAGAGAUCCUUAUUUCAUUGCUUAUAGUGCACUUGAAGAAAGAAUGAGUUUAGCCACAUAUACUCAGAAUCACCUUUGAUCCAAGCAUUCCUAAAGAUCUACCUCUCGACUUGCUCUCUUUCCUGACCCCAUAAAGAAGACUGGGACUGACACAUGCACAGUGGUUAAUAGUCAUAAUGAAAUCUUUCAUCACUUUAAGAUAAAUUCAUCACUAUCAUUUUAAGAUAAAUAUAGUAAUGAAGCAUUGCUAUUUUGAAGCAAUAUUUAAAAAUCUGAGUGUUUGCCUUUGCUACUAGAUAAACCUGCUGGGGUGCCAGUGUUUUGUGACCCUUACUGCUUGCCUUUGAGGUAACAACAGUACUGGGGAGUGAAGCUUGCUCUGCUGUGGGCUGAGUUUAUCAAAUGCCCUCUUCAGAAGGAAGCUAAUAUUCUUUCCGACUGCUGUAUUCCAAUUUGUAGGCUUCAGUGCUUACGCACAUGUAGCAGCUUUGCCAAUAUUGUGGUUUUAUUUCCAUGUCAGUUAUCUGCUCUUGGGGUAAGAUGAUAAUACAAAUGUUUCUGUUGAGCUCCUUAGUUAACAGUUGAUUUAAGUGUUUAACAGCCUAAUGACCCUAAGGUCAUUCCAGAACCAUUUGGCCUUGUAAAGUUUUCCUUAAAUCUCAUUCUUUCUGUACAUCUCUUUCUCUCUGUUAUUCUAUAUGAUGGGCAAUGGAUGCAAUUGUCUGGAAAGACUUUUUCAGCAUCUUUCGCUGUAUCUUAAUGACUUGAAACAUCUUUUGCAAAACAUGCUUUCUUGUUUCUUUUUCUGUCUUUCUAUUAAAAAAAUUGCCACAGUUAUGGCAAAAAGCAUUGAAUUUUAGAAAGGAAAAAAAUCUUUAAAUUCUACUACUUCUAUACCUAUGCAUCUGCUUUUUGAACUUCCAUUGCAAAAGAUCAGAAUGAAAAUAGCUAAGGAGUUGUCAGGCUUAAAAUAGUGUGUAGGAUAAUUUCCUUAGUUGUAAAGUUUUACUCGUUUGUAGAUGGAUGUGUUCGUGUUUCUAGGAUGGCCUUUUGUUUGUACUCAGCUGCAUGCACUAAUGGUAAAAAGAUGUUUGCCAAUGGCAAAAAGCUGUUGACAUAUUAUGUGAUAUCUGCAAAUUAGGGGCUUCAGCUGUUCUUGUAGAGGUUUAAUAUGCAGAUAACUGCAUGAUAUAUUUCUGUGAUUUUUACCAUCUAUAGAGGCUUUACGUCUACUGUAGAUGCCUAGAAAGGCUUGGGUAAAAGAUGAAUCACAGAUUAAAAAUAAAUAGGAAAAAGAAAGCCCACACAAUUUGGUAGAACUGAUGUAGGUGAAGCUUUCAAAGGAAUUGGAUUUCCACUCUAAGUUACAGGCAAAUUAGUGAUAACCUAAACUGCAAAGCUACUCUUCCAGCUUCAUAACAGUAUCAGGAGCAGAUUCUGGUAAUGUUUGGGUGGAAAGCCAACCUGUGGUGCUGAAACACAGUGAUGUUCUGUAGCUAGAUGGACAAACAACUUUGUCAAAAGGGAUAAAAACAUGUCUGUUUAAAUUAGAACACAAUAUGAACCUAGGUAUAAUGCAUUCUGUGUAUCUAUCUAGCUAUUGGAUACACAGAGGAAGGAUGCUCUCUCUAAGAGUGGACGUGAAUUAAAAACAUUUUCUAAAAGCAGUAAUGACUAAUACUAAUUUCACUUUCUUGUCUCAGUGUUUACUUAAAUAUGUUGUUUUCAUGUCCCCUGAUCUCCUAAACUUUAUUUUAUUGUAUUUGGAAAUAUCAGUGGAAAACAGCUUAUUAACUGUUGUAGGUAACAGUUCUGCUCUCAAAAUGUUUCUUGCAAGUGCUGCCUUAAUGUUCUUUUUAAGUAGCUGCUACAAGGUGGUUGUAGUUCAGAGACGAAAAUAAUGCUGUUAUCUCCUAAUCUGUUGUUCAAGGGUCCAAACAGUAUCUUUCCAAUCGACUAACCACUGUGGACAGAUUGACAGAACUUUGUGGUUUUGAGAAAUGCUUAUUAUUUUAUUAAAUCAGUGCGUAUACAUGAAUAUGAACUGUCAUCUGUGUCAGCAUCUAACUUCUCUCUUUCAUACAGAGAUUGCUCUUAUAGUUGUCUGACUGUGGAUACAUGAGUAAAUGCUAUUCUAAUUGUAGACACACAAGUAAAUGCUUCCCAUUUCCCUGUUUUUCAUCAUCUCUUGAUAUUAUCCUGUGGGUUUUACUUAAAUUUUUCAGUUAUUGUUUCUUUUCCAUGUUGGAUACUACUGUUAUUGUUUAGACUAUAUAAAAGUACAUUCUUCCACUUAGAUGCUAACCUUGUUCCAUAGAUCGCAUUACGGUUUUGUCCUGUGUACAUGGCAGAUCUUUCAGCAAAUCACCUGAUUCUCUCCAGUAAAUAAAAUGUGAGCAAUUCUGGGUCAUGUGUUUAUAACUGUCUGUGCUUGUCAAACCUACCUUGAGCAAGCUAUUCCUUUGGAAAUCGAAUUUAUAGAACAGUAAGAAUCCCAAUCCUGUUGGAUCAACUGUCUGGCUCCUAGAAAUGUAGUGUUACUGUGAGCUUCUAACACAAUAGCAUCAUUGAAUUCUGAUUGCGGAGUUCAGAAUUUUUCCGUCUCGUUGACUCAGAAACAACAGAAGCUGAUCUUCCCUGUCCUGUCUCCUUUGGGCUAAGAUGAGGUGUCAGUAAGAUAUGUAGUUCCCUAUUUUAACAAAGUGGUCACUAAAUAGCUUACUGCUGCCUUUAGACUGUACAUUUUGAUUUUGUCUUCAAAUGAAUUUGGAAAACAAAAUCUUGAAGAUUGGAAGUAAAAAUGUUUUCCUUCAAAACUUAUUUCAUAUUUCAUGGCCUUUCCUGUUGUUGUUCAGUGUUAUCUGCACUUUAAUAUGAAGGACAAGGUGUAAUGAGGAAUCUACAAGUCAGGCUCUGGAAAGUGUAGAUAUGAGAUGCCUGUUUAUUUCCACUGUUCAGAGUUAAAGAUUCCAUAUUUAGUGCAAGAGGAAGAGAAGUGGACUUGCAAAGUCCAAAAGAAUUGCUCUCCAGGUGGAAAUGCUUGGCAGACAUCUGUGUCCAAAUGGUAGCUUUUUAAACUUGGAAGUCCAAACACAUCUCGUGGUUCAUUGUUCAAAGCCAUAGUCUCUUUCCAAUAGAGAAGUGAAUAGGACUCAAAAAUAACUGAGAGGCACUGCUUGUACCAACAGUACAUAAUGAUUGGAGCAGUCAUUUGGAAUUUAAGACUUGUUCUUGCUCCUCUGCAUCUCAAAGUUUGGCUUUCCAAGACAUUUGUCUACUUUACAGGAAAGAGUUUUUUGAUAAAAGCAUAAAAAUAUUAGUGAUGGCUAUUUUUAUAUAUUAUCAGAGAAAUGAAACCGCUGGUCUGAAAUCUAAUUGAUGAUUUGGCAGGAAUGAUUGCUGCUUUUUAGAUUCUGGUGCUUUUCCUGAACAUCUGCUGCAGCAUAAUACAGCUAUUAGCUUUUUAAACAAUCUGUUGCCAUCAGAUUAUUACACAUGGUUUAUAUCCACUGGGAUCUCAAAAUUGGUUAUUGCAGCUUCAGAGAGUUGCUUGAUGAAAAGCUACUUAUUGCUGGCAUCUGUAUGAUGAACUGUUACUAGUGGCUGAGAAAUUGUAUGAUUUUCUUAUGUUUAACGAUGGCACCAUAGUGAAUAUGCUGAUGUCAUAUAUCUUUCAUGAUCUGCACAAAUCAUCCCCUUAUUGAAUAUCUGAAUAAUCAUCUUCUGAAAGCAGAGGCAAGCAGUUAGAAACUUUUUAGACAUGCUCUUUUUAAUUUGUGCAGUUCAUACAAUAUACAAAACAGUGACAUUAAUUGGAUUUAUUCUCUGGAGUCAAGUAGCAAGCCAGGUUCUUUUGCAAGCUUAUUUUUCUGUGCAAAUCCAUCUUUUUAACGUACAAACAUUACCAAAACAAAUACUUGCAUAAACUUGUCUUGAAUUGUUAAGUAGAAGCAUUAAUCUUAUGAAUGUUUCUUCUUUUUGACUUAAACUCAGCCAUACAUAGUUUCUUCUCUCUAGUGAAAGAAUUACACUAGAAAAGCAACAAUUUAAACAGGUUAUCACUGUUCUUAGAUUUUUAAGCUGAAAAAUUGGAAGCUAGUAGGUCAAAUGGGGACUUAAUUCUACCCACCUUAUGUUCACUGAAGCUGAACACAAUAGAAACAAAGGAGGGGUAGAAAAAAGGACUCUAACAAGUUAUGUAUGGGAAUUCUCACAGGAAUUAGGCUUCACCAUCCUCACUAUAACUAGCCUGAAGAACACAUGAAGAAAAAUGAGGUAUCACUGGUAGUAUUACUGGGGAAAUCUUAGUCCUUGUUGGAGCUCAUGAAACUAAGAUGCCAUAUGAAGGUAGACUAAAUUCUUCCAUGUUGCUCAGUUACCCUGAAUCAGUGGAUUUCAGAGGUGGCUUUACAGCUGAAGAGGUCUAGCUCUGCAUAUUUGGUUUGUCAGGAGUAGGACACCAGCUCAUGACUAAGUCCCUAAACAAUGAAAGGUAUUACAUAUGUUAGAAUAAAGAAUAUAUUGAACUUGAUUUGAGGAGUGUUUUUAUGUGCUAAUGUAUGAAAUGUAGAAGCUCUUGAGGGACUAUAGAAUAUCACUACAGCACGGGCAAAUGUAUCACCAAGAGUAUAUGCAGUCAUGGAUCAAAAAUCUAACUCGGAAAUGGAGUAGUAUAGUGCCAUAUUCCAAGCUAUGUGAAUUGCAAGGGCACAGCUGAGCAAAUAUUUCUCCAAACUGUUCAUAAAUAACUGCUUGGACCCAAAUGUCAAUUUUAGUUUUGCUCUGCAAACUGUUAUUUCACGUUUGUUACUAUUAUAGCAAGCAAUGCUUGCAGAAAUAUCUGUAGAAGCAAUAUAUUUCAUGUUAGUGUUUGUGGAAAGCAAAUGCUUCAUCUAAAAUAGCUGAAAAAUCUGUUCUGAGCAUUAAUCUCAUGAAUUUAUAAAAACUGGAAUUCUGUGUCAAUUAGCUGAGAACUGGGUCUAUAUGCCUGAGCUUCUGCCCAAAUCAGAGUGAACUGGUAUUAAUCAGAUCACUAAUCUUACAUAAAAUCAACCAGUAUUAUGGAAAUCUGAACACAUGCAGUAAGGAUGAUAGUGAAUUUAUGAGCACUUUUCUUCUACUGAUUUUAAGAUGCUUCAUAAGACUGACCUACCAUUGGCCAUUCUGUUGAAAUAUGGAUCAGUGAAGUAUAUACUCAGAAGGAUUUAUUACUUUUGACUCCUUAUAUUCUUCUGCUGUCUCUUGCUCUCUUAAUUCUUUGGAUGCUUGAAAACAUACCUGCUACUAAUGUUUAAUUUACAAGAUGUAUCAAGCUUCUGAUGUGCUGAAAUAUUUGACAAGAAGCUAUCUUUAAUUCUUCCUAUUUUCUCUGCAUUUUAAAGAUGCUUAAAACAUAAUGUUUAAGUCAGAAGAAAUUCACUCACAGUAUUGACCAGCAAAAGUAAUUUGAAAAUAGUCCAGCACAGUUUUAGUCAUGACACAAGCUGUGUAUAUUUCUGUCCCAUCUCAACACAUUAUGUCUGCCUCCAGCUGAUAUUUUCCAGUGAAAAGCAGCCAUGCACAUUCUGCCUGGAUUUAGUGUAAAGAUUUUUUUCUGGGGUAGACAUCAACUUCACAAAGCUCUAGAAUGUGUCAACUUGUUUUGAACCUGCAAGUGAAAGAUGUGAUGGCUGUUCCACUCAGCAGGUUUUUGUGCAUGUUUUUCUAAAUGACACUGCUCCCUUAACUGCUCACUUAUAUCCAGUGAGCCCUGUUGGUUCCUUGUCUUGUUACCAUGAACUUUGAGAACUGUCCUUUAGAAUGCUCAUAUUUUAAACGCAGUCAGUCUGAUAUAGCUAGAAUUACUUUCUGUAGUCACUAUUUGAAUAUACAUGCCAACAAUUUAAAUAUUCUUACAGUAUGUACUUACAGCAUGCUGGUACUCAUAUACUCUGAAGGAACACAGCAGGCAGUGACCUACAAUGUUUUUCUUGCUUGAAGGCAGCAGAGGUAUAUAAUCAAUCAAAGGCUGUACCUUAAGAACACUGCUUUCUUUCAGCAUCUGUCCUGUCUGUAAGACUUUCAUUUGCCCUGCUGCAAUUACGUUCCUGAAAGGAAUUCACAUGUGGAAUGUUUCCUGUUCGUUAGGUCUGCUGGGCACUAAAAGGAUGUUAACUAUCUAUCUCACAGAGGCUGAGAACUACAUUGAGCACAGAGGCUUUUGGGCUUCUAGUUCUAGCUGGCUGCUGGUCUGUAGUAGGAGCUCAGGGCUGGCUUGUGGAGGCUCUUGGCAAGGGAUACCGGGCUCUACUGGGAGGGCAGCCUCCCAAUGCCAGGGUGGUCAUUGCAGAACUGAGGUCCAGCUGCCAGCAGGGAUCUUUGGCUGGAGGAGCACAGCAGGGCCUGUCAGGUAUAAUGCUGGGAACAGUAACAACAAGCAGAGUUUUCAUUUCAGCUUUUAAUUGACUGCCAUAAGUAAACUCUUGGUACAUAAGACUUUUCUUUAUAUUCUUUGUGUGCAUAUUUGUCAGAUAUUUACUUAAUUUUAUACACAAUAUUGGAAUAAUCUGUUACAUUAAUACACAGCUUAAAGCAGGUCUUAUUUACACUGACCACAGAAAGACAGAAGAAUGAGGACAAAUACUUAACAUUCACCAUCUUUAUCAGCAUUUUAAGUAUAGUUAACCAGCACACAUCAUGCACAUCCAUAUCCAUAUUUAUAAGAAGUGUAGGUAUUUCUAAUUACACACAUGGGCAUGUGUCUCCCUUUAAAAAAAAAUAAUGAAGUAGAAUGCCAUUUCCCCCAGAUAAUCAAAGAUUAAAAAAAAAAAAAAACAA